CCGCGUUACUAAAUCUAUCAUUUUUCCCUACUCGGAAAAUCAUCAAAAUGGUUACAAUUGAAAGAGAUUUACCUUCUCUGGACAGCCUUUUUUCGACGGAUGUGGGAACUUUACAUGCAAUCGAUUCAAACCGUGGCUCUAAUCAGCCAGAGGUACUUUUGACCAUGUACGAAGAUGGCAGAUUAUUCUGAUGUCACUUUGAAGAUCAGUCAUGACCGAAGACUUUAAUUUCGGUCCAUCGUGUUGUUCUGGCCUCUUUCAGUCCUUACUUUGAAACCCUGUUCAGUAAAAAUUGGGACGAUGGAAAGAAAAAAGAGAUAGAAGUUCUUUCUUUUGACUAGAAUGCUGUUAGCGAUUUGAUCAAAUUCGCAUAUUCGGGCGAAAUUGACAUCAGCCAAGACAAUGUGUAUCAUUUGCUUUAAGGCAUCUGAUUAUUUGCAGGUGGAGUUUGUCAGGCAAUCUUGUGGAGAAUUUCUGAAAGGUGCAAUCGAUGAUGAAACUUAUCUUAGCAUCUGGCAUCUUGCUGAUGUGUUCAUGCUGGAAGAGCUAAUGAAGGAGGCCAAAAAGCACUUCUUCCUUCACUUUACUGAAGUCACUCGGGGGAAGGAAUUUUUGUCCCUUCCAGUUAGUUUCCUGAAAGAGACUCUUGCUGAUGAAGGCAUCUGUGUGGUCAUCGGGAGCCUGAUUCCGUCCAAAGAGGAAAGGGAAAAAGUCGUUUGGAAGCUGUUUUCAAGUAUGUUGAACAUAAUAUCAGCAACCGAAAAAAAUUUAUUCCAGAAUUGUUAUCUCUGGUACGACUCCCAACCUUAUCAAAGUCUUAUCUGAAAGAAAUCUGAGAGCACCAACUUAUCGUAGGCUCCAGCAGUGAAAUCAUUUCAAAGGCUCUGAAACUGCAAACUGAUCUCCCCGAUAAAGAUUCACCAGAUGAGACAUGGGUGACCUCUAGGACAUGUGCCGAACUUGUUCUCAUUUGGGGGUGUCCCUUUGCUAAUGGUGGCCAGGAAUGGUACUGUGGAUUCAGCAAUGCCGGGAUGGAAGACGGGUUCUGGGAGGGCUGAAGAUGUUAUAUGAAAAUGAUGGUGGGGAAAGUGAUUGGAUCCAAAUUAACGACAGUGAUUGUGAAUGCCAUGAAUUUCACUUGGAAAAUGAUGAAAGGAUUGUCAAAGUUGAUGUUAAUUCUGGACCGAUGAUUCAUAGCCUCACCUUUGACACAAGGAGAGGAUAGUGGAGAAUUCUACAGACACAUCCCUUGCUGAUGAAGGUAUCUGUGUGGUCAAUGAAAACCUGACUCCAGUUGCAGAGGAAAGGGAGAGGAUGGUGUUGGAAGUUGUUUUCAAGUACGUCAAACAUGAUCUUGCAAAUCAGUAACUUUAUUUCUCAGAAUUGUUAUCUUUAGUUCGACCUGCAACCUUAUCAAGGUCUUAUUUGAAAGAAAUCUCAUUACAUAAGCUUCUUGCAGAAUCUGGCACUGAAAUAAUCUAAAAGGCACUGAAGCUACAAAUUGAUUUCCCUGAGAAAGAUUCACCAGAUGAGAAAUGGGCAACCACAAGGGCAUUUGCCAUUAACCUGUAGUCAGUUGGGGGCGUUGCUAAAUGCAAGUGAUGUCCGGAGACUCUCUGUAAGAUCACAUCACAGUGAUGAAAAGAUAGUUGAAAAUCUGAGAAAUGAUGUGUUUAUAAAGGGAAUGGAAUUGUGGAUUCGACAAUGGUGUGGAACAUCUGUACUGGGUGGCCUUAAGAUUUUCUGUAACGAUGACAGAGAAGGGAAGUUUGGAAGUGACUCCAGUCAGUGUGCACACCAUGAAUUUCACUUGGAAGGAAAUGAGAGGAUUGUUAAGGUCGCAGUCAACUCUGGACUGAUUAUCAACCAGUUUCAAUUUUUUCAAACAAGAUGAUAAUGGAGAAUCUAAAUGUUACGGCCCUUAUGGAGGAGAUGGUGGAGGACUCUACACUGAGACUACACCAGGGUCAUAUGGUCUCUUGGCUGGAGUUGGGGCUGCUGUUGUUUACUCACAGGGUAAUGAAGGUAUGACCAGACUUCAGUUUGCUUGGAGGACCUAUGUGCUUCCUGGUGACCCAGAGCCAAUGAAAAGCAGAUGUAGUGUAAAUGAUUAUGACCAUGAUUAUGAUGAUGAUGAAGAUGAUGAGGAGAACUCUACAUUUACAGGGUGGGGAUGGGUGAGAUACAAAAGUAAAAACAAAACUUUGCUUGGGACUCAAAAACAGUGAUUAUACAUUACAUGUGUAUUACCAACUGGUUUUUAGUUGGAUUCCAACUUUUAUCAUGAGUGGCCAGUCCAUCCCUGAUUAAAGUGGUUAAUUGUUAAAUUCCCAAGAUCUAAGGUCGUGACUUGAAUGGACACCCAAAAUCAGGUUUCCAAGUUAGGACUGGAAUCCAAUAUUAUUAUUCUUAUCCUUAUUCUAAGCCAUGCCAGAGUGCUCAUACUAGGA
rnacentral:misc_RNA from 1 species